rnacentral:lncRNA from 1 species
GUCUCACCUCGUUACCCAAGCUGGAGUGCAGUGCUGUGAUCAUAUCUCACUGUACAUCUCCAACUCCUGGGCUCAAGAAAUUCUCCUGCCUUAGCCUCCUGAGUAGGUAGGACUACAGGCAUGUGCCACCACACCCAGUAGCAUCUCUUCCUCAAAGAUGAGUCAGCCGUCAUUUGAAGAGGAGGAAAGACUGGAUUGGGGAAGAAUCUGGGGCAAAAUGAAGCCAAAUUGAGAACAAGGAGAAAAGGAGAUGCUAAGGCUGCAGAUAAGGAGGUCUUAAGUGUUACAGCUCUUUUCGAAUUUGUCUAGCAGGCUUUCUGCUUUUUACUGGAAAAUGCCCCCCCGCCCCAAAAAAAUAAAAACAAAUAAAUAAAAAAGAAAGAUUUAAAAAAUAAA